rnacentral:lncRNA from 1 species
GGGAAUUGAAUUUUGCUUCGCACUACAAUCGAAGCUUAUCUCUGCAUCUUCAAUGGAGUCUGCAUUAUUUCAACGAGGACCCUGAUUAACUCCACAAAUUCACUUCAAUCUCUUCGAAGUUUGUCCGCCGUGGUGGUACAUCCAGUUCCGUACAUCUAUUGUUUAGGUUUGUGAUUUAUGUGUUUUAACUUUUAAGUGGGUAGAACCAUUUAACAAUUCCUUAUUUAUGAUUACCAAUUUAAUCCAACCCACUUAAGUAAAUGAAUAAUUUUACCCAUUAAAUCAUAGGUUUAAUGGAGGGGUUGAUGGGUUGGGUUCAAAAUUGCCAGUUCUAGUUAUAGUAGUAAGUAAUUCUUAUUAUGGUGUACUAUGUAGUCUACCGGUUCUAAGUAAUUGGCGUCUUAAAUAUGAACAAGAACAUAGGUACCUGAUUGCUUAACCUUUCUGUAAAACUCUAGCUCCCAAUCUGUGUUCCUCAAUAGAAAUACCUUUUCCCCCCGUUCUAUUGCUGCCCUUACAGUCAGUUUUGCUCUAUCGGCUACUUUACGGUAAGCACUCUUUUUUGCAGUUUUGAUAAUACCCAAAACCCAGCUAGUCUAUGUUCUCAAAAAA